AAUUGGAGGGCAAGUCUGGUGCCAGCAGCCGCGGUAAUUCCAGCUCCAAUAGCGUAUAUUAAAGUUGUUGCAGUUAAAAAGCUCGUAGUUGAAUUUCGGGAUCAAUAUUUCGGUCAUGCCGUUGGUAUGCACUGUUACCAUUGAUUUCUCACCUUCUAAAGAACCGUAAUGCCAUUAAUUUGGUGUUACGGGGAAUUAGGACUGUUACCUUGAAAAAAUUAGAGUGUUUAAAGCAGGCUCACGCUUGAAUACAUUAGCAUGGAAUAAUGAAAUAGGACAUCCGAUUCUAUUUUGUUGGUUUCUAGGAUCGAUGUAAUGAUUAAUAGGGAUAGUUGGGGGCAUUAGUAUUCAAUUGUCAGAGGUGAAAUUCUUGGAUUUAUUGAAGACUAACUACUGCGAAAGCAUUUGCCAAGGAUGUUUUCAUUAAUCAAGAACGAAAGUUAGGGGAUCGAAGACGAUCAGAUACCGUCGUAGUCUUAACCAUAAACUAUGCCGACUAGGGAUCGGAUGAUGUUAAUUUUUUAAUGACUCAUUCGGCGCCUUACGGGAAACCAAAGUGU
rnacentral:rRNA from 1 species